rnacentral:rRNA from 1 species
UACGAGAGGCCCAAACGUUUAUUCGGAUUUACUGGGCUUAAAGAGUUCGUAGGCGGUUCGGUAAGUGAGGUGUGAAAUCCCUUGGCUCAACCAAGGAAUUGCGCUUCAAACUGCCGGGCUCGAGGGAGAUAGAGGUGAGCGGAACUGAUGGUGGAGCGGUGAAAUGCGUUGAUAUCAUCAGGAACACCAGAGGCGAAGGCGGCUCACUGGGUCUCUUCUGACGCUGAGGAACGAAAGCUAGGGGAGCAAACGGG